UUCAACAACGGAUCUCUUGGUUCUGGCAUCGAUGAAGAACGCAGCGAAAUGCGAUAAGUAAUGUGAAUUGCAGAAUUCAGUGAAUCAUCGAAUCUUUGAACGCACAUUGCGCCCUCUGGUAUUCCGGAGGGCAUGCCUGUUCGAGCGUCAUU
rnacentral:rRNA from 1 species